rnacentral:misc_RNA from 1 species
AGCCCCAGGCGUCCGCCGCAUAAUCGAAGGUACCCGUGUCUAUGAGCGACCAGUUCAAGAAGUCCUUGCGCGGGUCGUGCGCGUAUUUGUUGGUGUCGAAGACGUCGGCCACGGCGAACUUUCCGACCGUCAGGACGAUCCGAUCGUUCGUCUGGGUGCCGGCGAACUGAUUGAUGUCGCCGUCGACCUUCUUCGUUUCGCCGCCGAGGUCGAACGUCUGGCGGAAGAAGGCCCGCGAAAUCCGGGCGUAGGGACUGGCAGAGCCGACCUUGUAGGCUGCACCGCUCGGAAACCCCGCGACCCCGAGCGUCGAGCUCAAGCCGAACCCCUGGUCGAUCUCCGGAUUGAUCCAGAAUUCUCCGCCCUUCCAAGGCCGGAUGCCGGCAUAGAAGGUGACGUCCCAGGUCUCGCGGGUUUGGUUGGGGAUGAGGCUGUUCGUGCCGCGGUACGGUGCGCGAAAUGGCGCCGCGUACUGCUGCAGGUAGGUGGUCUGAGUCCGCAGAUUGAACCA